GCGGAUGGCCGGACGGCCGCGGGAGGACAACCUUCCGAGGAAAGUCCGGACUCCAUGAAGAAACGGUGCCGGGUAACGCCCGGGCGGGGCAACCCGACGGAAAGCGCCACAGAGAACAGACCGCCCCGGAUCCGUCCGGGGUCAGGGUGAAACGGUGGGGUAAGAGCCCACCGCGGAGGCGGCAACGUCUCCGGCAUGGCAAGCCCCACCGGGAGCAAUGCCGAAUAGGACCUCCGCGCCCGACACAGGGCAGGGCCGCUUCAGCCCGGGAGGUCGGGUUGGCAGCUAGAUCCCGUCCGCAAGGGCGGGAGCAGAUGAAUGGUCGUCGGCGGGGAUCCGUCCCCGACCACAGGAUCCGGCUUACAGGCCGUCCGCGCGA
rnacentral:RNase_P_RNA from 1 species